GAAAAUUGGUCUAAUACCGUAUGAGGUCAUACGAUGGCAUCAGAAUAUGACGAAAGGUUUAGCGGUGAAGGAUGGGGAUGCGUCUGAUUAGCUUGUUGGUGAGGUAACGGCUCACCAAGGCGACGAUCAGUAGGGGUUCUGAGAGGAAGGUCCCCCACAUUGGAACUGAGACACGGUCCAAACUCCUACGGGAGGCAGCAGUGAGGAAUAUUGGUCAAUGGGCGAGAGCCUGAACCAGCCAAGUAGCGUGCAGGACGACGGCCCUAUGGGUUGUAAACUGCUUUUAUAUGGGGAUAAAGUGAGUUACGUGUAGCUUAUUGCAGGUACCAUAUGAAUAAGGACCGGCUAAUUCCGUGCCAGCAGCCGCGGUAAUACGGAAGGUCCAGGCGUUAUCCGGAUUUAUUGGGUUUAAAGGGAGCGUAGGCCGCCCCUUAAGCGUGUUGUGAAAUGCCGCGGCUCAACCGUGGCACUGCAGCGCGAACUGGGGGGCUUGAGUGCACGCAACGCAGGCGGAAUUCGUGGUGUAGCGGUGAAAUGCUUAGAUAUCACGAAGAACUCCGAUUGCGAAGGCAGCUUGCGGGAGUGCGACUGACGCUGAAGCUCGAAGGUGCGGGUAUCGAACAGGAUUAGAUACCCUGGUAGUCCGCACAGUA
rnacentral:rRNA from 1 species